rnacentral:rRNA from 1 species
GACGAACGCUGGCGGCGUGCUUAACACAUGCAAGUCGAACGGAAAGGCCCUGCUUUUGUGGGGUGCUCGAGUGGCGAACGGGUGAGUAACACGUGAGUAACCUGCCCUUGACUUUGGGAUAACUUGAGGAAACUGGGGCUAAUACCGGAUAGGAGCUCCUGCUGCAUGGUGGGGGUUGGAAAGUUUCGGCGGUUGGGGAUGGACUCGCGGCUUAUCAGCUUGUUGGUGGGGUAGUGGCUUACCAAGGCUUUGACGGGUAGCCGGCCUGCGAGGGUGACCGGCGACAUUGGGACUGAGGUACGGUCCAGACGCCUACGGGAGGCAGCAGUGGGGAAUAUUGCACAAUGGGCGGAAGCCUGAUGCAGCAACGCCGCGUGCGGGAUGACGGCCUUCGGGUUGUAAACCGCUUUCGCCUGUGACGAAGCGUGAGUGACGGUAAUGGGUAAAGAAGCACCGGCUAACUACGUG